CUUUGUACACACCGCCCGUCACACCAUGGGAGCGGGUUCUGCCAGAAGUAGUUAGCCUAACCGCAAGGAGGGCGAUUACCACGGCAGGGUUCGUGACUGGGGUG
rnacentral:rRNA from 1 species